rnacentral:rRNA from 1 species
UAGAGUUUGAUCAUGGCUCACGACGAACGCUGGCGGCGUGCCUAAUACAUGCAAGUCGAACGCGUCCCGGUUGAUGAAGUUGAGUGCUUGCACUUGAUUGAUUCAACUUGGUGACGAGUGGCGAACUGGUGAGUAACACGUGGGUAACCUGCCCCGAAGCGGGGGAUAACAUUUGGAAACAGGUGCUAAUACCGCAUAACAACCAAAAUCUCCUGGUUUUGGUUUAAAAGACGGUUUCGGCUGUCACCUUGGGAUGGACCCGCGGCGUAUUAGCUAGUUGGUGAGGUAACGGCUCACCAAGGCAAUGAUACGUAGCCGACCUGAGAGGGUAAUCGGCCACAUUGGGACUGAGACACGGCCCAAACUCCUACGGGAGGCAGCAGUAGGGAAUCUUCCACAAUGGACGCAAGUCUGAUGGAGCAACGCCGCGUGAGUGAUGAAGGGUUUCGGCUCGUAAAACUCUGUUGUUGGAGAAGAA